rnacentral:piRNA from 1 species
UGAGCUUUCAUUCAUCUGUUGCCAAGGG